rnacentral:misc_RNA from 1 species
ACAAACUUGGUCAUUUAGAGGAAGUAAAAGUCGUAACAAGGUUUCCGUAGGUGAACCUGCGGAAGGAUCAUUAGCAAAUCUAAACGUCAGUACCUGUGAGAACGAUGGAGGGGUGCGUGUACGCACGCACACCCCCGCUCCAAGACGAUGAUUGUCAGAGGUACACACUGCAUAACCGCAAACAACUUUUAACAAUGGAUCUCUUGGCUCUUUAUAAGAGACAGACAAACUUGGUCAUUUAGAGGAAGUAAAAGUCGUAACAAGGUUUCCGUAGGUGAACCUGCGGAAGGAUCAUUAGCAAAUCUAAACGUCAGUACCUGUGAGAACGAUGGAGGGGUGCGUGUACGCACGCACACCCCCGCUCCAAGACGAUGAUUGUCAGAGGUACACACUGCAUAACCGCAAACAACUUUUAACAAUGGAUCUCUUGGCUCUUGCAUCGAUGAAGAACGCAGC